rnacentral:rRNA from 1 species
GAUGAACGCUGGCGGCGUGCCUAAUACAUGCAAGUCGAGCGAACAGACGAGGAGCCUGCUCCUCUGACGUUAGCGGCGGACGGGUGAGUAACACGUGGAUAACCUACCUAUAAGACUGGGAUAACUUCGGGAAACCGGAGCUAAUACCGGAUAACAUGUUGAACCGCAUGGUUCAACAGUGAAAGACGGUCUUGCUGUCACUUAUAGAUGGAUCCGCGCCGCAUUAGCUAGUUGGUAAGGUAACGGCUUACCAAGGCAACGAUGCGUAGCCGACCUGAGAGGGUGAUCGGCCACACUGGAACUGAGACACGGUCCAGACUCCUACGGGAGGCAGCAGUAGGGAAUCUUCCGCAAUGGGCGAAAGCCUGACGGAGCAACGCCGCGUGAGUGAAGAAGGUCUUCGGAUCGUAAAACUCUGUUAUUAGGGAAGAACAAAUGUGUAAGUAACUAUGCACGUCUUGACGGUACCUAAUCAGAAAGCCACGGCUAACUACGUG